AAGAACAUCUUGGUAGCCAAACAACACUUUCAUUUGUUUGCACCAUUUUUGUAAUUCUUAGCAUCAAGGAUAAGUAGGUUUGUAGAGAUUCUUUCAUUGGAGACAGAAUUCAUGUCACACACUAAGUGUUUGUGGAUCAGAAUCAGAUGUCAAAUGUUGGAACUUUGAACCACAAGAUUGAUGAGCAAUGGUGCAAAAAAUUGGAAUGUGGAGAGUGAAGGAGGAAAAUAGAG
rnacentral:lncRNA from 1 species